GAAGUCUUUAUAAAACAAUAGAGCAUAUAACCAAAAUGAUCUGGUUUUCAAAGAAGAACCCAUCAGCUAAAUUCUCCUUUUUUUUCUCUAAUUUGACAUUUUACAACAUUACACAAACCCUGAGACCUCUCUCUAACGAAGAGUCAAUUUCAAUUAAACCAAAAAAAGUCAACGAAACAAACCUCGACGGGGAUUCGAACGAA